rnacentral:SRP_RNA from 1 species
CUUCGGUCUCCCCGCACCACGACCCCGUGAACCCCGUCAGGCCCGGAAGGGAGCAGCGGCAGCGGGUGAUGUGGGUGACGGGAUCGGGCGGUUGGGG